rnacentral:rRNA from 1 species
UGGGGAAUAUUGCACAAUGGGGGAAACCCUGAUGCAGCGACGCCGCGUGAGCGAAGAAGUAUUUCGGUAUGUAAAGCUCUGUCAGCAGGGAAGAAGAAGACGGUACCUGACCAAGAAGUCCCGGCUAACUACGUGCCAGCAGCCGCGGUAAUACGUAGGGGCAAGCGUUAUCCGGAUUUACUGGGUGUAAAGGGAGCGCAGGCGGUUCUGCAAGUCUGGUGUGAAAGCCCGGGGCCCAACCCCGGGACUGCAUUGGAAACUGCGGGACUUGAGUGUCGGAGGGGCAAGUGGAAUUCCUAGUGUAGCGGUGAAAUGCGUAGAUAUUAGGAGGAACACCAGUGGCGAAGGCGGCUUGCUGGACGACAACUGACGCUGAGGCUCGAAAGCGUGGGGAGCAAACAGGAUUAGAUACC